rnacentral:rRNA from 1 species
UACGUAGGGGGCAAGCGUUGUCCGGAUUCAUUGGGCGUAAAGAGCGUGUAGGCGGCUCGGUAAGUCCGCUGUAAAAGUCAAAGGCUCAACCUUUGAAUGUCAGUGGAUACUGCCGGGCUAGAGUCCGGAAGAGGCGAGUGGAACUCCUGGUGUAGCGGUGGAAUGCGCAGAUAUCAGGAGGAACACCGGUGGCGAAGGCGGAUCUCUGGGCCUUACCUGACGCUGAGGCGCGAAAGCUAGGGGAGCGAACAGG